UGGGCAUGAAGGCCUAGCGUAGAGAUGAGCCCGCAACAAGAAUCAGAAGCCGAGACCCUAGUGGAAGUGGCGUUAAGGGUACUUAACACGCCGGACCCUUUUGAGAAGGCCAGGCUAAGUGACUCCGUAGCUUGCCAAUGGCUGCAAGGGACCAUUUCCCAGCCCUAUCUCCCUUCCCUGGACCUCCCCGUGCCUGAUCGGCCGGCCCGUCUCACCAACGUUAAGUUGAUGGCACCAGGUUUAAUGCCAAAGCUUCGAAAAGCUGGUAGCUUGCAGAGCAGGCAGGCCAUUGUGCAUAGCCUUGUUCACACUGAGAGUUGGGCUAUUGACUUGUCUUGGGAUAUAAUUGCUCGUUUUGGUAAGCAAGAGGCAAUGCCUAGAGACUUCUUUACAGAUUUUGUGAAGGUUGCUCAAGAUGAGGCCAGACACUUCACUCUGCUUGCAAAACGGCUUGAGGAGCUAGGUUCUUUUUAUGGAGCAUUACCAGCUCAUGAUGGCCUAUGGGAUUCGGCCAUUGCUACGUCUAAGGACCUAUUGGCACGUUUAGCAAUUGAGCAUUGUGUCCAUGAGGCCAGGGGACUUGAUGUGCUGCCCACAACUAUCUCUCGGUUCCGCAAUGGAGGUGACAAUGAAACAGCUGAUUUAUUGGACAGAGUGGUGUAUCCAGAAGAGAUUACCCACUGUGCUGCUGGAAUCAGGUGGUUUAAGUAUCUAUGCUUGAAGUCUAAACGUUGCAGUUUCGAGCAAAGCUUGAGUUCUCAAGAAAGUGGAGAGGCAGAAAGUGAAAUUACUGAGGUGAAUGAAGAGAUUGUUCAGAAGUUUCAUGCUAUAGUGAGAACACACUUCAGAGGACCAUUAAAACCACCUUUUAAUGAGGAAGCAAGGAAAGCUGCUGGGUUUGGCCCUCAAUGGUAUGAACCACUUGCUGUCAAAGAGGUCAAUCCAGUAUGCCAACAGAAA
rnacentral:misc_RNA from 1 species